GAAUGAGGAAGCUCUCUGUGUACUGAUGGGGACAGAAGUUCCAGGACAUUUUGUAAGGUGGCUGAAAAACAAGGACAGAUGCUUCCAGAAUCAAUCACCGAAUGGUGGAUCUACAGCCAACCACCCAUUCUCUUCAGUCACUGAGGAUGAUAUGAUGCUGCUGGUCCAAGGACUACAUUUCGAGAACCCCAACCACGCAUGGAUUGUUGUCAACUAUGAAUCACAAGGAUUUCCAGGGUUUUGUCUGCUGCCUUCCCUGCAAGCCCUGCCAUCCACUGAGACCCAACCUCAGCCAUUCUUGGCACAUCAGCCCAUGAGAAGUCUGCCACUCUUUCUUCCUAAGCAAAGCAGCAUCCUUCAGGGCCUGGAGCUCCUGGACACAAAAGCCAUUUUUGGGAGGAAAAAUGUGGAUAAAGUCACUCCUGGGCCACCUGUCUGUGAGGCUGUAUGGAAGCUGCCUACUGGUUUGAGGAGAGGCUGCUGGGUUCUUUCCUUUACUAAGGAUUUGCUUAAGUCAGCCCUCCAGGAUCCAAAAAAGAGCCAGAAAAAAGGCCAGCAAAACAGCUGAGGCACAGACUAGAUGGUAGUCCAAGGACCAAGACCUGGCCAGCCAGAGGGACCAGGUGUCCAGACCCCGGACUGUUUUCAAUACAGUUAUACAAUGAAAUCAAAUAAAUGGAUGUAUUGAUUGCUUGGCAAU
rnacentral:lncRNA from 1 species